rnacentral:rRNA from 1 species
GACGAACGCUGGCGGCGUGCCUAACACAUGCAAGUCGAACGGAAAGGCCCUGCUUUUGUGGGGUGCUCGAGUGGCGAACGGGUGAGUAACACGUGUGUAACCUGCCCUUGACUUUGGGAUAACUUCAGGAAACUGGGGCUCAUAUCGGAUAGGAGCUCCUGAUGCAUGGUGGGGGUUGGAAAGUUUCGGCCGUUUGGGAUGGAUUCGCGGCUUAUCCGCUUGCUGGUGGGGUAGUGGUUUACCAAGGGUUUGACGGGUAGCCGGCCUGGGCGGUGGAACAGGGUCAAGGGUACUGAGGGAGGGCCCAGACGCCAAUCUGAGGCAGUGGGGGGGAAUAUGGCACAGUGGGCGGAAGCCAGAUGCAGCAACGCCGCGUGCGGGAUGACGGCCUUCGGGUUGAAAACCGCUGUCGCCUGUGACGAAGCGUGAUUGACGGUAAUGAAUAAAGAAGCACCGGCUAACUACGUG